rnacentral:tmRNA from 1 species
GGGGAUGUAAAGGUUUCGACGGGGGUGCAGAAGAAGCAUAAGCGAGCCGUAGUCGCCCGGUCUACGUAAAAAAGGGCCGUUUAAAUAUAAACGCUAAAAAGAACAAUAACUUUGCACUUGCCGCGUAAGCGGCGUGCGGUCAGUUUCGGUUCACCCGCAGGCCGUUAACCUGAUCUCGAAUCAUGCGGGAAAACCUUGCGGAAGUUCCCGGAUCCGCAAGGGAACAACGGGAUAGUACACGUAUCAGUCUUCCGUCGGACGGUUACAAUGUACGAACUUUAAAUCGUCGGAUGCGCUCGGAGAAAAUGCUUUGGAAGUGCUUUCGGACAUGGGUUCGACUCCCAUCAUCUCCACCA